AGCCUUGUACACACCGCCCGUCAAGCCACGGAAGUUGACAGUACCCGAAGUCGUGCACCCAACCGUAAGGAGGGAAGCGCCCACGGUAAGGUCGAUGACUGGGACU
rnacentral:rRNA from 1 species